GUGAACGCUGGCGGUAGGCCUAACCCAUGCAAGUCGAACGGCAGCACAGUAAGAGCUUGCUCUUACGGGUGGCGAGUGGCGGACGGGUGAGGAAUACAUCGGAAUCUACUUUUUCGUGGGGGAUAACGUAGGGAAACUUACGCUAAUACCGCAUACGACCUACGGGUGAAAGCAGGGGAUCUUCGGACCUUGCGCGAUUGAAUGAGCCGAUGUCGGAUUAGCUAGUUGGCGGGGUAAAGGCCCACCAAGGCGACGAUCCGUAGCUGGUCUGAGAGGAUGAUCAGCCACACUGGAACUGAGACACGGUCCAGACUCCUACGGGAGGCAGCAGUGGGGAAUAUUGGACAAUGGGCGCAAGCCUGAUCCAGCCAUACCGCGUGGGUGAAGAAGGCCUUCGGGUUGUAAAGCCCUUUUGUUGGGAAAGAAAAGCAGCAGGUUAAUACCCCGCUGUUCUGACGGUACCCAAAGAAUAAGCACCGGCUAACUUCGUG
rnacentral:rRNA from 1 species